rnacentral:rRNA from 1 species
UACGGUAGGGGGCAAGCGUUGUCCGGAAUCACUGGGCGUAAAGCGCGCGCAGGCGGUCAUCUACGUCUGGGGUGAAAGCCCGGAGCUCAACUCCGGGAUUGCCUUGGAUACGGGAUGACUUGAGGAUCGGAGAGGCAAGGGGAAUUCCACGUGUAGCGGUGAAAUGCGUAGAGAUGUGGAGGAACACCUGUGGCGAAGGCGCCUUGCUGGCCGAUUUCUGACGCUGAGGCGCGAAAGCGUGGGGAGCAAACAGG